rnacentral:rRNA from 1 species
GAUGAACGCUGGCGGCGUGCUUAACACAUGCAAGUCGAACGAGAAGUGAAGACGGAAACCUUCGGGCGGAAGGCUUUAUUUCGAGUGGCGGACGGGUGAGUAACGCGUGGGUAACCUGCCUCAUACAGGGGGAUAACAGUUGGAAACGACUGUUAAUACCGCAUAAGACCACAGCACCGCAUGGUGCGGGGGUAAAAACUCCGGUGGUAUGAGAUGGACCCGCGUUCGAUUAGCCAGUUGGCGGGGUAACGGCCCACCAAAGCGACGAUCGAUAGCCGAUCUGAGAGGAUGACCGGCCACAUUGGGGCUGAGACACGGCCCAAACUCCUACGGGAGGCAGCAGUGGGGAAUAUUGCACAAUGGGGGAAACCCUGAUGCAGCGACGCCGGGUGAGUGAAGAAGUAUUUCGGUAUGUAAAGCUCUAUCAGCAGGGAAGAAAAUGACGGUACCUGAGUAAGAAGCCCCGGCUAACUACGUG